UACGGAAGGCAGCGGUGGGGAAUAUUGCACAAUGGGCGCAAGCCUGAUGCAGCCAUGCCGCGUGUAUGAAAAAGGCCUUCGGGUUGUAAAGUACUUUCAGUCGUGAGGAAGGUGUUAAGGUUAAUAACCUUAGCAAUUGACGUUAGCGACAGAAGAAGCACCGGCUAACUCCGUGCCAGCAGCCGCGGUAAUACGGAGGGUGCGAGCGUUAAUCGGAAUUACUGGGCGUAAAGGGCACGCAGGCGGUUAAUUAAGUUGGAUGUGAAAUCCCCGGGCUUAACCUGGGAAUGGGCAUUCAAAGACUGGUUAGCUAGAGUCUUGUAGAGGGGGGUAGAAUUCCAUGUGUAGCGGUGAAAUGCGUAGAGAUGUGGAGGAAUACCGGUGGCGAAAGGCGGCCCCUGGACAAAGACUGACGCUCAUGUGCGAAAGCGUGGGGAGCAAAACAGGGAUUAGAUACC
rnacentral:rRNA from 1 species